UUCCCUUUGUCAUCCUAUGCCUGGAGAUCGUGAUAAGGCAGGGACAGCAAAGGGAUGC
ensembl:miRNA dre-mir-204-2 microRNA 211